rnacentral:rRNA from 1 species
CGAACGGGUGAGUAACGCGUGAGGAACCUGCCUCAAAGAGGGGGACAACAGUUGGAAACGACUGCUAAUACCGCAUAAGCCCACAGGUCGGCAUCGACCAGAGGGAAAAGGAGCAAUCCGCUUUGAGACGGCCUCGCGUCCGAUUAGCUAGUUGGUGAGGUAAUAGCCCACCAAGGCGACGAUCGGUAGCCGGACUGAGAGGUUGAACGGCCACAUUGGGACUGAGACACGGCCCAG